UUUUCAUUAAAACUAUGAAUUUAUAUGUUUCUAACUUUAUUUUUAGAAAAUUCGUUAUUUAUAAUAAUUCGAAAUUUCUAAGUUAAAUUAUUACCAUAUUAAUAACUAAUUCAAUUAUUUAAUAUUUUGAAAGAAAUUGGACUCGGAGUUCAGGAAGAACGAUCCAUCGAACAGGAAGUAUAAACUACGGUUAAGGUACGAAGAAGAUCAUGGGAUGCCUUAGAGUGAGGAUGCAACCAUCAAAGUCACGAUCGAUGUUUAAUAAAGAUAACUAUGUCAUUAGUAAUAAAGGGAUGUAUUAAUUAAACUCUAAGUUUGAUUUCACGAUUUGAGUUAGAUUUUCAAAUUAAUGUUUAAACAUGUUAGAAAUAUUUAUUAAGGUUUACUUAGAUUUCAAUGUAAUUUUUAAAGAAUUAAUCGAAGUGAAGUAUAAUUACUGUUACUCAACAGUAGUCAGUA